GUCAAUAUGUCCGAGUAGUUUAAGGAGAUAGACUUGAAAUUUAUUGGGCUUUGCCUGCGCAGGUUCGAAGGAGAUAGACUUGAAAUUUAUUGGGCUUUGCCUGCGCAGGUUCGAAUGCUGCUGUUGACG
rnacentral:tRNA from 1 species